rnacentral:rRNA from 1 species
UGGGGAAUAUUGGACAAUGGGGGGAACCCUGAUCCAGCCAUGCCGCGUGUGUGAAGAAGGUCUUCGGAUUGUAAAGCACUUUAAGCGAGGAGGAGGGUACUGGUAUUAAUACUACCAGGUACUGGACGUUACUCGCAGAAUAAGCACCGGCUAACUCUGUGCCAGCAGCCGCGGUAAUACAGAGGGUGCGAGCGUUAAUCGGAUUUACUGGGCGUAAAGCGUGCGUAGGCGGCUAAUUGAGUCGGAUGUGAAAUCCCCGAGCUUAACUUGGGAAUUGCAUUCGAUACUGGUUAGCUAGAGUGUGGGAGAGGAUGGUAGAAUUCCAGGUGUAGCGGUGAAAUGCGUACAGAUCUGGAGGAAUACCGAUGGCGAAGGCAGCCAUCUGGCCUAACACUGACGCUGAGGUACGAGCGCAUGGGGAGCAAACAGG